GAUGAACGCUAGCUACAGGCUUAACACAUGCAAGUCGCAGGGUAACAUGAGGAAAGCUUGCUUUCCUUGAUGACGACUGGCGCACGGGUGAGUAACGCGUAUCCAACCUUCCCAUAACUACGGGAUAACCCGUUGAAAGACGGCCUAAUACCGUAUGAUAUCGUUUGCUGACAUCAAAUAACGAUUAAAGGUUUAGCGGUUAUGGAUGGGGAUGCGUCUGAUUAGCUUGUUGGCGGGGUAACGGCCCACCAAGGCGACGAUCAGUAGGGGUUCUGAGAGGAAGGUCCCCCACAUUGGAACUGAGACACGGUCCAAACUCCUACGGGAGGCAGCAGUGAGGAAUAUUGGUAAAUGGGCGAGAGCCUGAACCAGCCAAGUAGCGUGCAGGACGACGGCCCUAUGGGUUGUAAACUGCUUUUAUGUGGGGAUAAAGUGCGUGACGUGUCAUGCAUUGCAGGUACCACAUGAAUAAGGACCGGCUAAUUCCGUG
rnacentral:rRNA from 1 species